rnacentral:rRNA from 1 species
UACAGAGGUCUCAAGCGUUGUUCGGAUUCAUUGGGCGUAAAGGGUGCGUAGGCGGCGCGGUAAGUCGGGUGUGAAAUCUCGGAGCUUAACUCCGAAACUGCAUUCGAUACUGCCGUGCUUGAGGACUGGAGAGGAGACUGGAAUUUACGGUGUAGCGGUGAAAUGCGUAGAUAUCGUAAGGAAGACCAGUGGCGAAGGCGGGUCUCUGGACAGUUCCUGACGCUCAGGCACGAAAGCGUGGGGAGCAAACAGG